UACAGAGGGUGCGAGCGUUAAUCGGAAUUACUGGGCGUAAAGCGUGCGUAGACGGUUUUUUAAGUCGGGUGUGAAAGCCCCGGGCUCAACCUGGGAAUUGCAUUCGAGACUGAAUAGCUAGGGUACGGUAGAGGGAAGUGGAAUUUCCGGUGUAGCGGUGAAAUGCGUAGAUAUCGGAAGGAACAUCAGUGGCGAAAGCGACUUCCUGGACCAGUACCGACGUUCAGGCACGAAAGCGUGGGGAGCAAACAGG
rnacentral:rRNA from 1 species